rnacentral:rRNA from 1 species
CGCGGGGCAACCUGGCGACGAGUGGCGAACGGGUGAGUAAUGCAUCGGAACGUGCCCAGUAGUGGGGGAUAGCCCGGCGAAAGCCGGAUUAAUACCGCAUACGACCUAUGGGUGAAAGCGGGGGACCGUAAGGCCUCGCGCUAUUGGAGCGGCCGAUGUCAGAUUAGGUUGUUGGUGGGGUAAAAGCCCACCAAGCCGACGAUCUGUAGCUGGUCUGAGAGGACGACCAGCCACACUGGGACUGAGACACGGCCCAGACUCCUACGGGAGGCAGCAGUGGGGAGUUUUGGACAAUGGGGGCAACCCUGAUCCAGCCAUGCCGCGUGCGGGAAGAAGGCCUUCGGG